rnacentral:rRNA from 1 species
GACGAACGCUGGCGGCGUGCUUAACACAUGCAAGUCGAGCGGUAAGGCCUUUCGGGGUACACGAGCGGCGAACGGGCGGGUAACACGUGGGUGAUCUGCCCUCCACUUCGGGAUAAGCCUGGGACACUGGGUCUAAUACCGGAUAUGACCUCCUAUCGCAUGGCGGGUGGUGGAAAGAUUUAUCGGUGCAAGAUGGGCCCGCGGCCUAUCAGCUUGUUGGUGGUGUAAUGGCCUACGAAGGCGCCGACGGGUAGCCGACCUGAGAGGGUGACCAGGGACAAGACGACUGAGACAGGGAGCAGUAGCGUACGGGAGGCAGCAGUGGGGAGCAUGACGGAAUGGGCGAGAGUCUGAUACAGCGACGCCGCGUGAGGGAAGACGGCCUUCGGGUGGUAAACAACUGUGAGCAGGGACGAGGCGCAAGUGACGGUACCUGCAGAAGAAGCACCGGCUAACUACGUG